rnacentral:lncRNA from 12 species
GUUCAUUACAACGGUUCUCCACAAUCGAGCACAACGCUGGGCUAUCUUUUUCCAACCUUCCAAAACACAGCGGACCUGUGGUUUGCAGUCUACUCAUUGUGGCCCAGAACACCAAGCGACACAAUCCUGGGGAACACCCAAGAAUUGGAGAAAGGUAUCAGUCACAGCCCGGCUGCUCGGCCCAAGCUCCCCGUCUCCGCGUUUCUCACGCGCGGCGGAGGGAGGAAGACGUGGGCCAGGAGGGGAAGGAGGAGCCCGCGCUCCGGGCCUGUGCGGACGCCCCGCGGCCAGGUCAGCACGGGUCAGCGGCCCCGCAGGAGCCCCGCCGCGGCUGGCCCGGGGCGCUGGGGUCCCCCGGAGGGGGGAGUUCGAGUCCCGCUGCGGGAACGAGCGCGUGCUUUCGGGGCGCUCCUCCCGCCGCUCCCCCGGAGCCUUCCAAGCGGUGCUGCAGGGUCCCCCGUUUAUCCAAGAUUCCACAUACAAUCCCAUAGUCAAACCCCCGCCUGCCCAGAGCGCCGAGUGACUGCCUACAGACCCGGCCAAACCCAGACAUCUGCACCGAGGCGGCCUGCUCCGGGUGGAUGACCACCGCCGCCCGAUUCACCCCUGCAGCUCCCCGGGGGUAGCCCCGCCCUCGGCCCGUCCUGAUUCACCCCUGCAGCUCUGGGGAGGCAGCCCUGCCCUCCGGCCUGAUUCACCCCUGCAGCUCCCCCGGGGCAGCCCCGCCCUCGGGCCCGUCCUGAUUCACCCCUGCAGCUCCCCGGGGGCAGCCCUGCCCUCGGGCCCGGCCUGAUUCACCCCUGCAGCUCCCCCGGGACAGCCCCGCCCUCGGGUCUGGCCCGAUUCACCCCUACAGCUCUGGGGGGGGAGGGCAGCCCUGCCCUCCGGCCUGAUUCACCCCUGCAGCUCUGGGGGGGGGGGGACAGCCCUGCCCUCCGGCCUGAUUCACCCCUGCAGCUCCCCGGGGGCAGCCCACCCUCGGACUGCUCCCCUGCGGGCGCCGGCUCCACGGCCGCCAACUGCCUCAUCUGAUUUCGUAUUCUGCUGACAAACGAUGUGCGCCCCCGCUUUAUCUGGCUGCUAAUAUUAAAUAUCCGC